rnacentral:rRNA from 1 species
UACGUAGGGUGCAAGCGUUGUCCGGAAUUAUUGGGCGUAAAGAGCUCGUAGGCGGUUUGUCGCGUCUGCUGUGAAAUCCCAGGGCUUAACCCUGGGCCUGCAGUGGGUACGGGCAAACUAGAGUGCGGUAGGGGAGAUCGGAAUUCCUGGUGUAGCGGUGAAAUGCGCAGAUAUCGGGAAGAACACCCGUGGCGAAGGCGGUUCUCUGGGCCGAUACUGACGCUGAGGAGCGAAAGCGUGGGGAGCGAACAGG